AUGCAUGUCGAGCGCUCUUCAGCUAUGUAGAGAGCGCGGCGAACGGCUCAAUAACACGUAGUUAACCUACCCUCGGGAUGGGAAUAACCCCGGGAAACUGGGAUUAAUACCCACUAGAUGAUUAUACCUGGAAUGGCUUAUCAUCGAAAGAGUCUGGAAACAUGCUUCCAGCGUCGCCCGAGGAUGGGACCGCGUCCGAUCAGGUAGUUGGUAGGGUAAUGGCCUACCAAGCCUAUAACCGGUACGGGCCCUGAGAGGGGGAGCCCGGAGAUGGAAACUGAGAAAAGGUUCCAGGCCCUACGGGGUGCAGCAGGCGCGAAACCUCCACAAUGCGCGAAAGCGUGAUGGGGUUAUCCCGAGUGCCGUCCGAUGAGGAUGGCUUUUUAUCGAUGUAAGGAUUCGAUAGAAUAAAGGGGGGGCAAGACUGGUGUCAGCCGCCGCGGUAAUACCAGCCCCCUGAGUGGUAAGGACGAUUAUUUGGCCUAAAGCGUUCGUAGCCGGCUUAUCAAGUCUUUUGUUAAAUCCAACGAUUCAAUCGUUGGGCUGCAAAAGAUACUGUUAUGCUAGAGGACGGGAGAGGUCGACGGUAGUCCAGGGGUAGGGGUGAAAUCCUAUAAUCCUUGGAGGACCACCAGUGGCGAAGGCGGUCGACUAGAACGUGCCUGACGGUGAGGGACGAAAGCUGGGGGAGCGAACCGGAUUAGAUACCCGGGUAGUCCCAGCUGUAAACGAUGCGGGCUAGGUGUUGGGGCAGCCACGAGCUGCUCCAGUGCCGCAGAGAAGUUGUUAAGCCCGCCGCCUGGGGAGUACGGCCGCAAGGCUGAAACUUAAAGGAAUUGGCGGGGGAGCACCACAAGGGGUGAAGGCUGCGGUUUAAUUGGAUUCAACGCCGGAA
rnacentral:rRNA from 1 species